CCUACGGGUGGCAGCAGUGAGGAAUAUUGGUCAAUGGGCGCGAGCCUGAACCAGCCAAGUAGCGUGAAGGAUGACUGCCCUACGGGUUGUAAACUUCUUUUAUCAAGAAAUAAAGUGAGGCACGUGUGCCUUUUUGUAUGUACUUUAUGAAUAAGGAUCGGCUAACUCCGUGCCAGCAGCCGCGGUAAUACGGAGGAUCCGAGCGUUAUCCGGAUUUAGUGGGUUUAAAGGGAGCGUAGAUGGGUUGUUAAGUCAGUUGUGAAAGUUUGCGGUUCAACCGUAAAAUUGCAAUGGAUACUGGCGGCCUUGAGUACAGUUGAGGUAGGCGGAAUUCGUGGUGUAGCGGUGAAAUGCUUAGAUAUCACGAAGAACUCCGAUUGCGAAGGCAGCUUACUAAGCUGCCACUGACAUUGAUGAUCGAAAGUGUGGGUAUCAAACAGGAUUAGAUACCCGAGUAGUC
rnacentral:rRNA from 1 species